rnacentral:rRNA from 1 species
AGAGUUUGAUUAUGGCUCAGGAUGAACGCUGGCGGCAUGCCUAAUACAUGCAAGUCGAACGGGAGUGCUUGCACUCCAGUGGCGAACGGGUGAGUAAUACAUAGGUAACCUGUCCUUAAGACGAGGAUAGCUUCUAGAAAUGGAAGAUAAAACUGGAUAGGACAUCACAAAUCACAUGAUUAGAUGUUUAAAAGAGCAAUCUACUUAAGGAGGGGCCUGUGGCGCAUUAGCCAGAUGGCGGGGUAAUGGCCCACCAUAGCGAUGAUGCGUAGCCAGUCUGAGAGGACGAACGGCCACAUUGGGACUGAGACACGGCCCAGACUCCUACGGGAGGCAGCAGUAGGGAAUUUUCGGCAAUGGGCGGAAGCCUGACCGAGCAAUGCCGCGUGAAUGAAGAAGUAUUUCGGUAUGUAAAGUUCUUUUAUUUGGGACGAAAAAACAAAUUGACGGUACCAAAUGAAUAAGCCCCGGCUAACUAUGUGCCAGCCGCCGC